AGUUGCCAGGGCUGUCUGCUGGACUUUGCGCACCAUCGGAAUGACCGCGAUGUGUCUCCUGUGCGCUCCCCUCAAAGUCAGUUUCUGCAGCUUGCAGUAAACGCUGGAGAUGAGUGUGCCGUCCUCGCCCCUCCGCCCCCCAUUUCUAAAAGUCACACAGACAGACUCGGUUAGGCGCGCAACUACGUCACCAUCAGCUGAGAGAAGAAACCUGCAACACAAACCAUGAAUCUCUUCCAGACCCACAGCCCGCUGCUGCUAAGAAUGAGAGGAAGGGGAUAAUCGAGAGAAGCUUGAUAACGGCAUGCCACACCACGCAGGAGCACCAGCAGCAGCAGCAGCAGCAGUGGGGAAUAAAACAGCAUAGCAGGAGAGAAUAGUGCUGCACUUGCAUUUUCUGAUUUGUAAUUUCACUCUCUCUCUCUGUGCUGCACUCGGCACUCUGCACAUGCUGAUAAUUUGUAGGAUUGAGAUGCAACAACUUUGCCCACCCAGGCAAAGGCACUGUGGGAGCGGCCAGUGGGAGAAACGGGAGGGAGGGGUCAUCGGGAAAGUUAACAUCAACAUCACCCCCUGGGCGACGUCCACUUACAACAGGCAGUAAUGAACAGUGAAGCUGUGAAACAAGAAAGGUAGAGAGUCACCUUGCAUCAGGAUCUCAGGGAUGGCGGUCACUCUGAAGACUUAAAAGAUGCUUGGAGUGUGAGUUAAAUCAAAAUAUGGCUUUGGUCUUCACUGCUUAGCUAAAUGGCUGUCUGGCAUUAUACAUUAGUUUUAGUGUUAUCUACCAUGUAGACAUUUGAUUAUAGCAUUUGUAAUGUCCUGAGAAACCUGUAACCACAUCUGGUAGCCCCUUCUAUCCUUGAGAUGAGCUGACACACACUACUACCACCCACGAUGCAUCAGAAGAAGAUCUAUCAUCUAAUUUUCAAGAAUUAGAGAAAAAUAAAUACAGUUUAAAGGCAAAAUCUUGGUUUUACUUGUCUCUUAUGGCCUCAUCAAAAAGGAAAAUUUUACAGCAAAUUCAAUUUGGCGUUGAAGCUCAGAUGCACAUUGUAGCCUGAAACAGAAAAAUUAUCAUUCAAUCAUCGCUCAUUAUUUUGUCAAGACACAGUGAACUCAGGAGAGGCUGCUUUUAUUUUAGAGGCAGUUUAUACUCCCAGCAAAGGAGACUCACAUAGAGAACCGUGCAAAAGUCUUGUGCCACCACUUUUCUUUUGUGCAAUUAAAAUGAGAAGCAAGGGCAGUGAAACACAGAAAUAUGCAUGGGAAUGCAGUAUAUAAGGCAAAAACAGUUGUUACAAUUGUAACAAGACUGAAAGUGGUAUGACUUUGGUAUCACAGCCUGAACUCUCUUAGGAAAGCUUUUACUAGACUUUAACUAGUCUUCGGGAAUAGUUUUCCAGGCUUCUUAAAGUAAAUUCAAAGCUCUCAUGCUUCAAUAAUCUAGUCCAGGCUCUGGGGAGGCCAAUCAAGGACUGAUCGUCUUCUAUUGUGUGUUUUUUCUAUUCAGGCAUACUUUUACUGCGUUGGCAGUUUGUUUGGGAUCAUUCUCAUGCUGAAAAAUUAGGUCAGUUGACAGUUAGUUAAUUUCCAGAUAGUAUUGCAUGGUGAAUUAAAAUCUGAUUGUACUACUCUGUGUUCAUAAUUCCAUCAAUUUUGACCUCCUUCAAACAUACUGACGAUGAGUUGAACAAAAAAUUC